GACGAACGCUGGCGGCGUGCUUAACACAUGCAAGUCGAACGGAAAGGCCCUGCUUUUGUGGGGUGCUCGAGUGGCGAACGGGUGAGUAACACGUGAGUAACCUGCCCUUGACUUUGGGAUAACUUCAGGAAACUGGGGCUAAUACCGGAUAGGAGCUCCUGCUGCAUGGCGGGGGUUGGAAAGUUUCGGCGGUUGGGGAUGGACUCGCGGCUUAUCAGCUUGUUGGUGGGGUAGUGGCUUACCAAGGCUUUGACGGGUAGCCGGCCUGAGAGGGUGACCGGUCACAUUGGGACUGAGAUACGGCCCAGACUCCUACGGGAGGCAGCAGUGGGGAAUAUUGCACAAUGGGCGGAAGCCUGAUGCAGCAACGCCGCGUGCGGGAUGACGGCCUUCGGGUUGUAAACCGCUUUCGCCUGUGACGAAGCGUGAGUGACGGUAAUGGGUAAAGAGGCACCGGCUAACUACGUG
rnacentral:rRNA from 1 species